rnacentral:rRNA from 1 species
UACAGAGGUCCCAAGCGUUGUUCGGAUUCAUUGGGCGUAAAGGGUGCGUAGGCGGCGCGGUAAGUCGGGUGUGAAAUUUCGGAGGCUUAACUCCGAAACUGCAUUUGAUACUGCGGUGCUUGAGGACUGGAGAGGAGACUGGAAUUUACGGUGUAGCAGUGAAAUGCGUAGAGAUCGUAAGGAAGACCAGUGGCGAAGGCGGGUCUCUGGACAGUUCCUGACACUGAGGCACGAAGGCCAGGGGAGCAAAACGGGGAUUAGAACUACCGAG